rnacentral:sRNA from 1 species
ACUGCCGAAGACAGCAGGUGCCGAAAGGCAUAAGGCUUGUACGCCUGCCGAGGAAGUAUAUCACAUGAGUAUUACUUUCCUUCGGCGUGAUUUAUGCCGAAGGAUUUUUUCUU